AAGACAACCAAGAGUCUAUAAAAUGUGUACUGAAGAGCUUGGACGAAACAUUAUGUCUACAC
rnacentral:ribozyme from 1 species